rfam:Oryza sativa (indica cultivar-group) chromosome 7, whole genome shotgun sequence.
AAAGACUAAAUUCUUCGGUUUUCGUGUCUAACAUUUGACCGUCCGUCUUAUAUGAAAUUUUGUUAUGAUUAGUAUUUUCAUUAUUGUUAGAUGAUAAAACAUGAAUAAUACUUUAUGCAUAACUUAUCUUUUAAAAUUUUUUAAAUAAGACGAACGGUCACAUGUUGGAAUAAAAACCUAGGAAUUGAGUUUUU